CCUCCUCCUGUUGCUACAGUUCAAGCGUUGGAUCCAAGGUACAAGGACAUGACCUGCUUUAACUGUAGUUGGCUGAGGCACUAUGUGGGGAACUGCAUUGAACCGAAGAAAUGCUUUAUUUGCGCAGGAGGUCAUAACGUCAAUAACUGCGCUGCCUGGGUGAAACCACAUCCUACAGCGACAUACUUUGGCAGCGUAGCAGCUGGCCUGGGGUUUUAUCACAUUGAUGUUCCUACCGCGUCAGAACUAAGCUGGCUUAAUUACAAGAACUGUGCAGUUCUCAAAGUUGUUAAGGGUGAGGUUUCUGCCUCGGAGUUGCUGAUUCAGCUUAAUGGGAUUUUUUGUAAAAACAAAGAAUGGCCUUGGCAGAUUAGGGAUUUGCGAGAGAAG
rnacentral:rRNA from 1 species